rnacentral:rRNA from 1 species
AACGAACGCUGGCGGCAUGCCUAACACAUGCAAGUCGAACGAGACCUUCGGGACUAGUGGCGCACGGGUGCGUAACGCGUGGGAACCUGCCCUUAGGUUCGGAAUAACUCCCCGAAAGGGGUGCUAAUACCGGAUAAUGUCUUCGGACCAAAGAUUUAUCGCCUUUGGAUGGGCACGCGUUGGAUUAGCUAGUUGGUAGGGUAAAAGCCUACCAAGGCGACGAUCCAUAGCUGGUCUGAGAGGAUGAUCAGCCACACUGGGACUGAGACACGGCCCAGACUCCUACGGGAGGCAGCAGUGGGGAAUAUUGGACAAUGGGCGAAAGCCUGAUCCAGCAAUGCCGCGUGAGUGAUGAAGGCCUUAGGGUUGUAAAGCGCUUUUACCCGGGAUGAUAAUGACAGUACCGGGAGAAUAAGCUCCGGCUAACUCCGUG